rnacentral:tRNA from 1 species
GCCUCCGUAGCUCAGUGGGUAAGGCGCUCGCGUUCAAAUCCAGAGGACCCGGGUUCGAUCCCCGGUCGGGGCA